rnacentral:rRNA from 1 species
AGAGUUUGAUCCUGGCUCAGAUUGAACGCUGGCGGCAGGCUUAACACAUGCAAGUCGAGCGGAGAUGAGGUGCUUGCACUUUAUCUUAGCGGCGGACGGGUGAGUAAUGCUUAGGAAUCUGCCUAUUAGUGGGGGACAACAUUCCGAAAGGAAUGCUAAUACCGCAUACGUCUACGGGAGAAAGCAGGGGAUCUUCGGACCUUGCGCCAAUAGAUGAGCCUAAGUCGGAUUAGCUAGUUGGUGGGGUAAAGGCCUACCAAGGCGACGAUCUGUAGCGGGUCUGAGAGGAUGAUCCGCCACACUGGGACUGAGACACGGCCCAGACUCCUACGGGAGGCAGCAGUGGGGAAUAUUGGACAAUGGGGGGAACCCUGAUCCAGCCAUGCCGCGUGUGUGAAGAAGGCCUUAUGGUUGUAAAGCACUUUAAGCGAGGAGGAGGCUACUGAGACUAAUACUCUUGGAUAGUGGACGUUACUCGCAGAAUAAGCACCGGCUAACACUGUGCCAGCAGCCGCGGUAAUACAGAGGGUGCGAGCGUUAAUCGGAUUUACUGGGCGUAAAGCGUGCGUAGGCGGCUUUUUAAGUCGGAUGUGAAAUCCCCGAGCUUAACUUGGGAAUUGCAUUCGAUACUGGGAAGCUAGAGUAUGGGAGAGGAUGGUAGAAUUCCAGGUGUAGCGGUGAAAUGCGUAGAGAUCUGGAGGAAUACCGAUGGCGAAGGCAGCCAUCUGGCCUAAUACUGACGCUGAGGUACGAAAGCAUGGGGAGCAAACAGGAUUAGAUACCCUGGUAGUCCAUGCCGUAAACGAUGUCUACUAGCCGUUGGGGCCUUUGAGGCUUUAGUGGCGCAGCUAACGCGAUAAGUAGACCGCCUGGGGAGUACGGUCGCAAGACUAAAACUCAAAUGAAUUGACGG